GUACGUAGGGGGCGAGCGUUGUCCGGAAUGAUUGGGCGUAAAGGGCGCGUAGGCGGCCCGGUAAGUCUGGAGUGAAAGUCCUGCUUUUAAGGUGGGAAUUGCUUUGGAUACUGUCGGGCUUGAGUGCAGGAGAGGUAAGUGGAAUUCCCAGUGUAGCGGUGAAAUGCGUAGAGAUUGGGAGGAACACCAGUGGCGAAGGCGACUUACUGGACUGUAACUGACGCUGAGGCGCGAAAGUGUGGGGAGCAAACAGGAUUAGAUACCCUGGUAGUCCACACUGUAAACGAUGAAUGCUAGGUGUAGGGGGUAUCGACCCCUUCUGUGCCGCAGUUAACACAAUAAGCAUUCCGCCUGGGGAGUACGGCCGCAAGGUUGAAACUCAAAUGAAUUGACGGGG
rnacentral:rRNA from 1 species